rnacentral:rRNA from 1 species
GAUGAACGCUGGCGGCGUGCCUAAUACAUGCAAGUCGAGCGAACAGACGAGGAGCUUGCUCCUCUGACGUUAGCGGCGGACGGGUGAGUAACACGUGGAUAACCUACCUAUAAGACUGGGAUAACUUCGGGAAACCGGAGCUAAUACCGGAUAAUAUAUUGAACCGCAUGGUUCAAUAGUGAAAGACGGUUUUGCUGUCACUUAUAGAUGGAUCCGCGCCGCAUUAGCUAGUUGGUAAGGUAACGGCUUACCAAGGCAACGAUGCGUAGCCGACCUGAGAGGGUGAUUGGCCACACUGGAACUGAGACACGGUCCAGACUCCUACGGGAGGCAGCAGUAGGGAAUCUUCCGCAAUGGGCGAAAGCCUGACGGAGCAAAGCCGGGUGAGUGAUGAAGGUCUUCGGAUCGUAAAACUCUGUUAUUAGGGAAGAACAAAUGUGUAAGUAACUAUGCACGUCUUGACGGUACCUAAUCAGAAAGCCACGGCUAACUACGUG